rnacentral:lncRNA from 1 species
AGCCAGCAGUUACAGGACUCACUCAGCACUCACACAAACUGAAGGGCCCGGUCUCACUCCUACCGUGCCCCCCACAACAGCCCUGAGUCUGUUUCCAGGUGGUGGGCGAGAGGGGUUUGAAAAUUUGCCCCAGGCUAUCCGCCUCCCAGCUGGGCAAGAAAAGGGCGUGGUUGUUCCCCCACUGAGGAGUCUGCACACCGGAUUUGCAUCUUCCCCUGAGUUCUGGCCUGGAGGCUUCUCGCCCCUGCAAAUUGUUACAAAGUUCAGCUAGAGGGUUCCUUCUUCCUGUGGAGUUUUACCUUCUGCUCCUCUGGCCACCCUCCUGAUGGAUCCCUGUGGUGCCAGGCAGGAAUGACCUGCUUAAGGACCCAGCGAGCUCCCAGGACCUUUCUGCUGCUUCCUCUACCCGUAUAUUUUGCUUGCUUCUCUACAUUGACUCAGCUCCAGCGAUUCCUGAGGAAUCUCAUCCACACUACCCUAUGGACUAAAAGGAAAAGCUCUUCAUGUGGUGUUAGCACGGAGAUGAGAAAGAGAGAAAGACAACAUCAUGCUUUGCUGUCUGUGUGUGAACUGAGUAACAGCUGUGAAGGAUCAGUCACCAAAAGACUUUGAAAGAAGAGGCUUGAUUGGUCACGGUAAUGAUGCUCCCCUGGCCAUGGAAGUUUAAUUGGGAGAAAAGAACAUCUGCUUAUACGAAAACAUAUUAUAUUCAGCCAUCCCUGCCCUGACUUUGGCCUUUAAAAACAGUGGCAUUAAUUAUCUCAACAAAUGAAUCUUCGGGAUAAAAAUAAUCUAAAUAUUAUUUUACGCUUACUACAUAUUUGCAACGUGCUAAGCUCUUUAUGGUUGCUACCACAAAAAACAUUUAUAAUAUGAGACUUCACAAGGUUAGGAACAGGCUUCACUUCAUUGUGAUGUGUGUAAGGUGACAGAGGACAUAUAACGAAUACGUGGAAGAACUAGGAAUUUGACCUUAGCUUCCAGACAUUUUGAGGAGGAUACACUAUGUCCAUCUUGCUUUCCUAUCAAGAAAAGUAUACCCAGUUUGUGCAGUAGCCCUGUACCAACAGAUACAUUACAGCAGGUUGUUUCCGUAUUUUGGCUAUUGUGAAUAGUGCUGCAAUAAACAUGGAAGUGCUGAUAUAUCUUUGAGAUCUUGACUUCAAACAAAAGAAGAAAAUCUUGCAAUAUAUGACAACACGGAUUAACCUGGAGGACAUUGUGCUUAGUGAAGUUAGCCAGUCACAGACUGACAAGUACUGCACGAUUCCACUUAUAUGAUGCCACUGAAAGGUAAACAUACCAUUCUGACAUGCAUGAAAAUGAAACGACAAAUUGAUACACGCAGUGCUUGGAAUGGAUGGAGUCCUUCUAAUGAGUGAUUACCUGUGGUAUAACUAUAUUGAUUGUGUUUGUACAUGUCAAAUGGGGCUGGCGAGGAUGAACUUGAAGAAAUCAAUCUUGGAACCUGCUAGGACAGCAGCCUCCUGGUUUCACAGUACUAAAUCAUGACUUCAAAAUUUUGAAGUAAAAGAAAACUGCAAAACUUUGUAAAGGUACCAGUCUCUUCCUGACACUAUUUGCCUUGGCAAAAGAUUCACUGUCAACUUAAAAGACUAACAUGUGCUCAGAUGAUGAUUUGUGGAGGACAGAUAAUUAUGAGUACAUUUAGAAAUACACACUCUUCCAAACCCUGCUCUUUCCAUAUAAUGAAGUUAUUUAUUUCUAUUUUUUAUUUAUUUUUCUAAUAAUUACAAACAUACUUUGGAGACCCACAUUCCUGUAUUAUUCUUUCAACAUACUGAAGAAGAGUUAUUUCUAUGCUUCUUUCUAUGUGUUGGGCUUAAGAUUUAUUAGAAGGAAUGUGUAAAAACAAAGGCAGCAAAGUUUCUAUUUUUAUUGGGAGUCACUCCCGGAGUAAGUGGGGAUAGUUGUGCACACACACACACACACAUUCAUGCACAAAGAAAGAGUGAUCAAGUGUAUAACACACUUUUAGCAGUGUUUUGCUGGAAGAAUAAAGUAUAACUCCUUGUCCGCCCUUUUAUUAUACUGGGGUUCACACUAAGAGAGUCUGAGGACCUGUGGAACUCCCAUUUGCAUGAAAUAACUUUUGCAUCUAUUCUGGAGGAAAACUUCCUAAGGCAGAUUUGGACAGAAAAUUGCUAUCAGCGCAAAUAAAACAAUGCAAAGCCUACUCCGGGGAACGUUGCUCUGCCACCACUACUGAAAUGGGUCAUCCCCUUGGUUUCUGAAUAAAGAAUUAUGAAACCUGGGGCUAGAAUGCUCAGGGAGGAAUUUACCAAUCCAAAUCUUCCCCUUAUGGUAGAGAACAAACUUUCAAGGUUUGUUCUCCACUGUAAGUGUGCGAGGGCUGUUAGGGACCGUAAUAUGGCUGCCGGAGACUGGUGUGUGUACCUCCUUGACUGUACGUCUCAUUUCCAGUUAUGAUUUUACAAUCAUCUCUUUCUCAACCUUUGCUUUUAAAUAUAGGAAGGUACGGCUCACCAUGGAGCGGACAUUUUCUUCAGGAGCGGUACGGUGUCUAAGAUAUGCAGAGGUUGUAUUCUAGUCCUAUAACUCAAUUCUCAAACACAUGGCUUUUAGCCAGGGAUAUCCUAAAGGAAAAUUACACUAUAUGCAACCCCUCCUUACUCCUCAAAUAUUAUCUAUAUUAAACACAGCUGAAAUUUGAGAGUGUCCUUACAGGUGAAAAUUUAACAAUUUAACAAAAGGACACUGCUGAAUGUGUGGGGACAAAGGAAGGAUGAAUCUUUCAUCAUGACAAAAGACUACUUGCCACAUUCUCCCUUAACUUAGAAAAACAGAAAAGAGGCUGGGCGUGGUGGCUCCUGCCUGUAACCUCAGCACUUUGGGAGGCUGAGAUGGGUGGAUCAUUUGAGGUCAGGAGUUCGAGACCAGCCUGGCCAACAUGGUGAAACCCCGCCUCUACUAAAAAAUUCAAAAACUAGCCAGGCAUGGUGGCGGGUGCCUGUAGUUCCAGCUACUCAGGAGGCUGAGGCAGGAGAAUCUCCUGAACCCAGGAGGCGGAGGUUGCAGUGAGUCGAGAUCACACCACUGCACUCCAGCAACAGAGCAAGGCUCUGUCUGUCUCAAAA